rnacentral:misc_RNA from 1 species
GUGAAUCAUCGAAUCUUUGAACGCAAAUGGCACUCUCCGGUAAUCCGGGAGUAUGCUUGUUUGAGGGUCAGCAAAAACAAAUCACGGAUUUUAUUCUGUGGAAUUGGGUGUUUCGGGGGAUUCCAACCUUCAAUCCGUUCGAUCGCCUAAAAAUGUUUCUUGGUUCGUUCGAUGUGAACUGAUCUAAGGAUCGCUGACGAUGAACCGUAACUGUGUUACGCAUUAUGAUCGUCCGUUAUAACAAUAAUGGAUGAUUCAUAUGCCAUUCCAUUAAUGACCUCAAAUCAAGUAAGAUUACCC